GGGGGUGAACCAGUUUCGACGGGGUUCGCUGUCCGGCGAGUAGCGCGAAGGCGCACAGCACAUACGUGAAAACCGGACGACAACGGCGUAUCUCGGACGCGCGUGCAAUUCGCGCCACCUCCACUC
rnacentral:tmRNA from 1 species